rnacentral:rRNA from 1 species
UACGUAGGCAGCGAGCGUUGUUCGGAGUUACUGGGCGUAAAGGGUGCGUAGGUGGUCAGGUAAGUCGGAUGUGAAAUCUCCGAGCUCAACUCGGAAACUGCAUUGGAAACUACCUGGCUCGAGGGUUGGAGGGGGGACUGGAAUGCUUGGUGUAGCAGUGAAAUGCGUAGAUAUCAAGCGGAACACCAGUGGCGAAGGCGAGUCCCUGGACAACUCCUGACACUGAUGCACGAAAGCUAGGGGAGCAAACAGG